rnacentral:rRNA from 1 species
UACGUAGGGUGCAAGCGUUGUCCGGAAUUAUUGGGCGUAAAGAGCUCGUAGGCGGUCUGUUGCGUCGGCUGUGAAAACCCGGGGCUCAACUCCGGGCCUGCAGCCGAUACGGGCAGACUAGAGUUCGGCAGGGGAGACUGGAAUUCCUGGUGUAGCGGUGAAAUGCGCAGAUAUCAGGAGGAACACCGGUGGUGUAGACGGCUCUCUGGACCGUAACUGACGCUGAGGCACGAAAGCGUGGGUAGCAAACAGG